GCUAUUCUCAAAAAAUGGAAAAUAAUAGGUGCUGGGAAGGAUGUGGAGAAAUUAGAACCUUUGUGCACGGCUGAGAAGAAUGUAAAAUGGUGCAGCUGCUGUGGAAAACAGUGUGGUGAUUCCUCAAAAAGAUCUGCCAGGUGGCCAUGCUAUCUGCUGAAAACCAAAUAAGAAGACAGGAAACAAUGGUAACCCCCACCACCACUACAUGUCUCUCUGCAGCAGCACUUGAUGCUGUCAGCGUGGAGCCUGAUGCCGGGCUCGAUCCCAUGAAUGUGAGAUCAUGACCUGAGCUGAAGCCAAGAGUCAGACAUUUAACCAACUGAGCCACCCAGGUGCUCCUAGAGCAGUUUUGAAUUUGCAGAAAAGUUAAGAAGAGACUGUUCACCUUGGAGAACUGCUUUGGAUAUGCAUAUGGUCUGGUGUGAAAUUUACAUCUUCUCUCAUGGAUUUUCAAGGGCCACCUCACUGGAUGCCACCAGAACCAUGACAUUUUCCAAGUGGGCAUAUAUUUAAAUCAAUUGGGUAAGUUCUAACAGCACAACUGCUAGAUCAUAUGAUAAGACUAUAUUUAGCUUUGUGACAAAGUGCCAAACUGACUUCUAAAGUGGUUGCACCAUUUGCAUUCCCACCAUUGCAUUCCCAAUGAAUGCAUUCUUUCUGGCAUUGGGUAUUUUCAAUUUUAAAAAUUUUAACCAUUCUGGGGCACGUGGGUGGCUUAGUUGGUUAAGCAUCCGACAUUGGCUCAGGUCAUGAUCUUACAGUCCAUGA